rnacentral:rRNA from 1 species
GGCCAGACUCCUACGGGAGGCAGCAGUGGGGAAUAUUGCACAAUGGGGGAAACCCUGAUGCAGCGACGCCGCGUGGGUGAAGAAGUAAUUCGUUACGUAAAGCCCUAUCAGCAGGGAAGAAAAUGACGGUACCUGAGUAAGAAGCCCCGCCUAACUACGUGCCAGCAGCCGCGGUAAUACGUAGGGGGCAAGCGUUAUCCGGAUUCACUGGGCGUAAAGGGAGCGCAGGCGGCACGGCAAGUCUGGUGUGAAAACCCGGGGCUCAACCCCGGGACUGCAUUGGAAACUGCCGGGCUGGAGUGUCGGAGGGGUAAGCGGAAUUCCUAGUGUAGCGGUGAAAUGCGUAGAUAUUAGGAGGAACACCAGUGGCGAAGGCGGCUUACUGGACGAUGACUGACGCUGAGGCUCGAAAGCGUGGGGAGCAAACAGGAUUAGAUACCCCGGUA